CGCGGCUCCUCCUCGCCCCUGUCGCGGUUCCUGCCUCAGGGGCAGCGUCGGGCCGCCCAGCCCGCGCCCCCGCCUCUUCUAGGCUUCCGCACGUGGCUCUCUAGCCAGGUGGAGAGCGUCAGAAUUGAGUUGAACUGUAUGGCACCCACAGUGUGGAGGUGUAAACCUCACCCCCACAUCCUAAUGGGGUCCUCAGUUUGAUGAACGGCCCAAACCAGAUCCCACCCAGGAAAUGAAAGCAUCUUCACCAGGAAUAGGGUCACUUGCUGCAGGAAGCCCCUGCUGGUUCAGCUGGUCAAUGUCAUUAAAUAAAAGCAGGUGAAGAAAUCAAGAAUGAGGGAGGUUCAGCCCAGGAACACGUGUUAGGAGGUAGGAAAACACUUGUCCUGAAUCGCUAUUCUCCACUUCUACACACAUGUCACAGAUUAAGAAAAGAGUCUUCACUCAGGAAAAUCCACAUAGUUGAUCUGCAUCUCUGCAAACUCCUUGCAUCCAGAACUUUAUCCAAACAUGGCCUAAGCCUGUCAUCUCAGGACAGAUGGAAGAAGACACAGAUACAAGAAAAGCAGCAAGGAUCCAGGGAUUGGAGGAAUGAACUGAAUGCGCCGUAAAGCCUCACC
rnacentral:lncRNA from 1 species